GUGGUGGAUAGGCCCCGCCUCCCCGCAAUGUGGACGCAGCACGAGCGUGUUGAAGCCUCGCUGCCUGGAAUAAUAGAGAGCAGGAAUACACAGGAUGGUGGCGUGCAAUCUCCAGUUCUCCCCACCCGCUGAGGCAAAUGGGGUGUCAACAGUCUACACGGAUGUGUCAAGUGGAAAACUCAUUUAAUAGAGAUGAUGAGGAGAGCAGGAUGUAGGGUCAAGAGACUUCCUGUGGAAUAAAGUCCCUCAGCUCUCUCUCUCUCUCUCUCUCUAUCCGACUUUCUCUCUUUUCCAUUAAAACUGAGUUGCACAUUCAGACAGUUUUCCUUGUUUCCUUGCGAUCCUACUCGUCUGUUACAUAACACUGCAGGGGAUUUAGAUAUUUAGAUAAACAUUAUGUGAGUACCAUAGCCAGAAUUUUUUUUUAGGAGGGUCCCAUCUUAAAAUGAAGGGCCCCUGAGAAAAAUAAUUUUUAACAAUUCCUUAA